rnacentral:rRNA from 1 species
CCUACGGGCUGCACCAGUAGGGAAUCUUCGGCAAUGGACGAAAGUCUGACCGAGCAACGCCGCGUGAGUGAAGAAGGUUUUCGGAUCGUAAAACUCUGUUGUUAGAGAAGAACAAGUAGGAGAGUACUGCUCUUACCUUGACGGUAUCUAACCAGGAAGCCACGGCUAACUACGUGCCAGCAGCCGCGGUAAUACGUAGGUGGCAAGCGUUGUCCGGAUUUAUUGGGCGUAAAGCGAGCGCAGGCGGUCUUUUAAGUCUGAUGUGAAAGCCCUCGGCUCAACCGAGGAAGGUCAUUGGAAACUGGAGGACUUGAGUGCAGAAGAGGAGAGUGGAAUUCCAUGUGUAGCGGUGAAAUGCGUAGAUAUAUGGAGGAACACCAGUGGCGAAGGCGACUCUCUGGUCUGUAACUGACGCUGAGGCUCGAAAGCGUGGGGAGCAAACAGGAUUAGAUACCCUUGUAGUC